UUCAGAGCAUUGAGAUCUAAGGUGUUUGGUUUUGCUACUUCUCCUGUGUUUCCUGGGCCAUUUUUGUGCCCUAUCAUCCACUCUCUCAUAUCUCUAUGAAUUUUCUCCACUUUACGGAAUACCCUCCACUUUUCAUUUAAUGGCUAUUUUUUGCUGAGUAAAAAGCUAAAGUGACACCAUCUUCAUAGUAAAGUCACAUUGUGCAUCCUCUUUUUCAUAAUUUUAUGUAAAUUUUUUUAGUAUUUUCAGUAUAUAAUUAAAUCAAACUCAUUUGUUUAAAUGGAACACUGGAAAGAAGCAACUUAACUUCAGAGAGAUGGCUUGAUGGCAGAGCUUCACAGAAGAGAUCAGCUGUGGCUGGACUCCAGGGGAAGAUUACCUUCCUGC
rnacentral:lncRNA from 1 species